rnacentral:rRNA from 1 species
UACGUAGGGACCAAGCGUUGUUCGGAUUUACUGGGCGUAAAGGGCGCGUAGGCGGUUUGCUAAGUUGGAUGUGAAAACUCUGGGCUUAACCCAGAGCCUGCAUCCAAAACUGGCUGACUUGAGUACUGGAGGGGAAAGCGGAAUUCCUGGUGUAGCGGUGAAAUGCGCAGAUAUCAGGAGGAACACCGAUGGCGAAGGCAGGUCUCUGGGCCGAUACUGACGCUGAGGAGCGAAAGCGUGGGGAGCGAACAGG